rnacentral:rRNA from 1 species
GAUGAACGCUGGCGGCGUGCCUAAUACAUGCAAGUCGAGCGAACAGACGAGGAGCUUGCUCCUCUGACGUUAGCGGCGGACGGGUGAGUAACACGUGGAUAACCUACUUAUAAGACUGGGAUAACUUCGGGAAACCGGAGCUAAUACUGGAUAAUAUAUUGAACCGCAUGGUUCAAUAGUGAAAGACGGUUUUGCUGUCACUUAUAGAUGGAUCCGCGCCGCAUUAGCUAGUUGGUAAGGUAACGGCUUACCAAGGCAACGAUGCGUAGCCGACCUGAGAGGGUGAUCGGCCACACUGGAACUGAGACACGGUCCAGACUCCUACGGGAGGCAGCAGUAGGGAAUCUUCCGCAAUGGGCGAAAGCCUGACGGAGCAACGCCGCGUGAGUGAUGAAGGUCUUCGGAUCGUAAAACUCUGUUAUUAGGGAAGAACAAAUGUGUAAGUAACUAUGCACGUCUUGACGGUACCUAAUCAGAAAGCCACGGCUAACUACGUG